CGACUGAGAGUGGUCUGUCCCCGCCCCUUUCUGUUUGUUGCAGCGAGGUCUUUCUCUCUUGUGGGGCCAACCUAACACAACUUAUAACGGUCGGACAUCCUGUUUAAAAAGAAGUCGAAGUAUGUCACCUAAUACAUAUGAGGUGUGGAGGAUGAUAAUGAGGACCAGCCACCGGAGAAAGAAGUCCCUGUUUGACCGAAGAGAAAGAAGCAGAUGAAAUAUUCUCCAAGAAAAUUAGUGACCAUAGUGGAUUGAGUCAUCACCCACUAUAAAAAUGUCCAGAAGAGAUUCACCAAGUUUGAAUUCAUGAAAAGGCUUUCACCAUGAUUAACAUUGACCACAACCAUAGCAAGAACAGCUAUAAUUUCGAGCAUUUCCAGACACCUUUAAAGUGCUGCUUCCAGGAAAUUAAGACAAGAAGAAGAUCUCCCUGUUUUCAGAGCGUUACAGGAAGGCUAUAACAAAGGAGAUGGCUGACACAAUUAAAGCAAAAAAUGUUAGGACUGUUUAAAGAACCUAUUUUCUUAAGUUAAAGAAUAAUGUAAUUCUGUUUGUUUUUCAAUCAGUAUUUCAGAGUUACAAUAUACUGACCAGAAGUUAAACCUUCUGUUUGAAGAACAAGUAAUGCUUUGUUUAAUUCCAAUGUACAAAGAGUUUGUUCUUCAGCUUUGAUGGUAGUUAUAAAUAGUCUAGUGUUUUCCACUUCACUUGAGGUAAAACUUAGUAUUAAUGACUGUUAAUAUAGGACUUGACACUGUAAUGACAAUUAAUGAAAUCUUUAUAACUGUUGCUACUUGUUUCACUUUACUUGAGGUAAGAGUUAACAUUAAUGACAUUGUAAUAACACUUAAUGACAUGUCCAUAACUGGUGCUACUUGUUCCACUUGAUGUAAGAGGAAUUAUUAAUGACUCUGUUAUUAAAAUAUUUGACAGUGUAAUAAACAGUGAAAUCUUUAUUUCAUUAAGCUUGUUCCACUUUAUUUCAGGUAGGGGGAAAUAUUUUAUUUAUACUAUUUCUUUCAAGCUUUUGACAGCAUAAUAACACUUAAUGACAUUAUUACGCCUAUGCCUAUGACAUAUUUCUG